CUUUCUGGACUGCGAGAGAGAUCCUGUCUACGGCAAUGAGGGGUGCCUGCUGUUCAUACACCUGUGGGGUGCCCAGCAGGAAAUACCAGGACAUUGCCACCAGACAGCGCUCAUUAAAGCCUCCGCCCUCCACUGAGGCCCUGAAAACCAGGAACUCUUCCAGGUCACCUGAGGAGUAAAGGCAGCAUCAAGGGUGCAGGGCGGGGAAGCAGGGGUACCCACUGGUGUCCCAGUGCUAUUCACAGGGAUCUGACAGGGGCACAGCCAAGCAGGAACUGCAGGGGCUCCUGCCUGGCAAGAUGCGGCCAGAUGUGCCCCCAUCCCACAGUGCCAGCAUGCUCCCAGCUGCCUCUGUGUCAUCAUUUCUUAAGAAAGACAUCGUUUUUGCCAACUUCUUCAUCAUUCAUCUGCUAAGUGUCCACGCUGCUGGGCAGAUGUGAGAAGAAAGAAAAUAAGAAAACCUUCCAGCACAUUCCGUUCAUCCACAGCACAGCUGUUCUAAGCCUGGAUGCUAGAGACAGUUUAGAGAGUGGUGGUGAACCUAUGGCACGAAUGCUGCUGCAGACUGUUAUCACUGAGAGCUCUAAAAGGUUCGCCAUUACUAGUUUAGGGUUUUAGGAUGUUGGAAGAAAACACCAUGUCACAUGAAGGCACACUGUGACCAGGCAAAGAUAAGGUCAUACAAAGAUCACUGAGCUUUUUGCAUUUCAGCUACGAAUGGUCCUGACAACCAGGGCAGUAAUAAAUGCCUCACCAUGUCCCUUUAUCAAGGUA